GUUGCACGCUGGCGGCAGGCUUAACACGUGCAAGUCGAGCGGAGAGAGGUAGCUUGCUACUGAUCUUAGCGGCGGACGGGUGAGUAAUGCUUAGGAAUCUGCCUAUUAGUGGGGGACAACAUUUCGAAAGGAAUGCUAAUACCGCAUACGUCCUACGGGAGAAAGCAGGGGAUCUUCGGACCUUGCGCUAAUAGAUGAGCCUAAGUCGGAUUAGCUAGUUGGUGGGGUAAAGGCCUACCAAGGCGACGAUCUGUAGCGGGUCUGAGAGGAUGAUCCGCCACACUGGGACUGAGACACGGCCCAGACUCCUACGGGAGGCAGCAGUGGGGAAUAUUGGACAAUGGGCGCAAGCCUGAUCCAGCCAUGCCGCGUGUGUGAAGAAGGCCUUAUGGUUGUAAAGCACUUUAAGCGAGGAGGAGGCUACUUUAGUUAAUACCUAGAGAUAGUGGACGUUACUCGCAGAAUAAGCACCGGCUAACUCUGUGCCAGCAGCCGCGGUAAAAC
rnacentral:rRNA from 1 species